GGUUGCGAUCAUACCAGCACUAAUGCACCGGAUCCAUCAGAACUCCGUAGUUAAGCGUGCUUGGGCGAGAGUAGUACUAGGAUGGGUGACCCCCUGGAAGUCCUCGUGUUGCAACCC
rnacentral:rRNA from 1 species